CAGAAUUUUAGCCGAGGAUAUAGCUUACAAAAUAGCAAACAAAAUACAACAAGAUUAUUGUAAACAAGAGAGAGAACGAGAAUAGAGAGCAAAAAUACAAUACAUCAAAAGCUUAGAAGAACCAAAGAAAAAUACAUAUUGGAGGAACUAAUGAAUUGAUUAGCAAGAUCGGAUAUGAGCGAUUACUUCUCCGUUUAUGAUCUCCUCAGAAGAACAUUUUCUCAGUUAGAUGCCCAAACAGUCUCUGAUGCCCUGCUCGAAUUCGUCGAGCGCAGAGAUGGUAUCCGUCAAUCCUUCUUUCAACUUCUCCCUGCAGUGUAAAGGGGAAUUUAAGUACUUACUUUUGCGUCCUCAGCUCAUUCUAGCACAAAAAAAAAGACAAACUAAGAAACCAACAAUCAGCCCAAAAGUAUGAAUUUUGAGGGUCAUGUCAUUAUACUAAGUUGUCGGACAUGCUAAAUUUUAGACCCUUAUUUUCACAAAUUACCUAUUGAUGUCCAAUUAUGUUCUUACGCUAUGUUAUAUCUUGGACAGCAGUGGGAUAAAUCGAGUUAUCCCCCCUAUUCUGCUAAAGGCAAGCAGUUUGACAGGAAACAGUGCUCAUCAAAUCAGAGCACUCUAGGAUAACUCCCGAACAAGAAGUUAGCUCCUGAACUAGUGUUUUACCUUACUUUAUCCUUAUUUAUCACCAUAAUAAUUGCAAAAACUUUUUGAAGCAUAACGCAGAUUUGCAUACCUAUCACUAUCGAGCUGAAGGUUGCUUUGGUUGAUAACACUCCCAAUAGAGGAAAACAAUCUGAAUAGCAAGACAAAAAUAGUAAAAACAUAGAUGAACAUUUCGUUGAAUAGGACUAGAAAGAAUAGAUCUACUUAAGGGAUAUAUGGCCGUCAAAUUUAGUCAAAAUGAAUGCCAACAUAGACUCAUUUGGCUUGGCUUCUGAAGUAGCAUCUCUACUUUGAGAAGCAGCAGCACCCAGCCAAUUGGAAAACCAAGAGUCUAGAGCGUGUUCUACAGGAAAGAGACGAAACAAGUUUUCAGAUCGUAAAAGCACAAGCUCCAAUUUUGGUCUUUAGUCUCUGCUGUAGUAAAGAGCACCUCAAUUUCUUCCCACUACAGCAGCAGCUUUCAUUCUAGGGCCUAGAAACUCAUUUCAGCUUCCGAUCAUGGCAAAAGCGAUUUUUGGUUGCCAAAUGCCUAGCUACAGCUUCUUAAAGUAGAAUAGGCAAGCCAAACACGCACUUAAUACUAAACGAGGCUUACAUGUUUUGCUUGACUUACUAACCAACCAACCAACCAACCACCUUUAAAUUGCAUUCUACUUUCAUGAAGAGCCCAAUCAUUAGAAAUAAGCUUGACUACUCAACAGCCAGGUCCCCUUAAAUUCUAGUGGAGCUCCUAAUAUACCGACAAAAGGGAAAGCUUACUCAUCAGGAGCAUCCGAGGCGACUUUCUUACUUAAC
rnacentral:lncRNA from 1 species